UACAGAGGGUGCAAGCGUUAAUCGGAGUUACUGGGCGUAAAGGGCGCGUAGGCGGUCAUGCAAGUGAGAUGUGAAAUCCCCGGGCUUAACCUGGGGGCUGCAUUUGAUACGUGUGGGCUUGAGUGAGGAAGAGGGUUGUGGAAUUCCCAGUGUAGAGGUGAAAUUCGUAGAUAUUGGGAAGAACACCGGUGGCGAAGGCGGCAACCUGGUCCUUUACUGACGCUGAGGCGCGAAAGCGUGGGGAGCAAACAGG
rnacentral:rRNA from 1 species